GUGCUUACUUUGGUAGCACUUAUGCUAAAAUUGGAACAAUACCAAGAUUAGCAUGACCUCUACACAAGGGUGACAUACAAAUUUAUGAAGCCUUCCAUAUUUAA